GUCUUUCGCUCCAGGUAGAGCUUGGGGUUAGUACAUCACUGGCCUGCGUGCUCCGCUCCAGGAGGUCUCGGUGAUUCUGCCACAGCCUCAUCCUCCGUCGCCCUGUGACCUACUGGUAUUGGAACAUUCAUAGCUAAGACUCCAGGACACCCACAAAGCCGAGAAAUGCUGAGUUUGCGGGUCAGGGCGUCCGGAGACUGGGGAGGCCUCAUCGGAGUCGGCCGGAAAUGGCGGUGGCGGGACCGAGUCUGUGAGCCUGAGCCCCCCUCAGCUCAGCCCUCAGUCUCCUCUGGUGCAGGGUACCCAGGCGUCCUGUACCGUUUCAGCACAGCGGCUUUGGCCCCAGCCUGUAGCCCUCUUUGCGCAGCUCUGCGCCCGCAUCUUCCCCAGCUUGUGAGGUGAUGAGGAGAGGUUCACCAGGGAAAGACGCCGACUUGGUGUGCAGGGCUUCUGCGUGGAAGGAGCUCUGGUCUGUGGGGUCACCAGUCCCUACUUUAACCUAUUCAGACAUAAACGGAGGCACCAUUAAAACAUUAAAGAAUUUAUAUGAGCAAACAGUGAUGAACCAGUGGGACAGCCCCAGACAUGGUUUGUCGUUUGGGGGCUACCAGCGGGUCUUGAAGAAAAGGCUUUAAGGCAGCUGAGGCUUGCCCUGUGGAGCAUCCCUGCGGGGGACUCUGGCCAGCUUGAGCAACAUGGAUCCUGAGAGCGCUCCCAGAUAGGCAUUUGCCCUGGUGGAAUGCCUUGUUAGAGCGGUGCACAGCAGGCCCCUGCGGAGGAUCAACGCAGUGGCUGAACACCAGGAAGGAACUGGCACUUGGAGUCCAGACAUCUGAAACUUGGUAAGACUGGUCUUUGGAACUUGCCCACUCCAUUUGAGUGGAAGCAUGGCCUGAUCACCCACGACGUGCCUGUACCGGCACUUUGGUUUUUGUUUUUGACUUGACUUGGAUUGCUCGAUACUUUGGUUUUGGUUUUGACCUGGCUUGGAUUUCUUGAUACUCUGAUUUUUGUUUUGGUUCUGAUUUGGUGUAAACUGUGAAAGUGUGUGUGUGCCCUUUUUACCCGUUCUUUGUUUUGUGGUGUGCGUGUGGUGUGAGCGUGGUGUUUUGUCUUGAGGAAGCAUGGGUCAAGCACAAAGUAAGCCCACCCCACCAGGAACUAUGUUGAAAAUUUCAAGAUUUAAGGGAGACUAUGGAGUACUAUGACACCAGGAAAACUUAAAACUUUGUGUAAGAUAGACUGAACAGCAUUAGAGGUGGGUUGGCCACCAGAAGGAAGCCUGGACAGGUCCCUUGUUUCAAAGGUAUGGCACAAGGUAACCUGUAAUCCAGGGCACACUGACCAGUUCCUGUAUAUAGACACUUGGUUACAGCUGGUUUUAGACUGCCCCCCACAGUGGUUGAGAGAACAGCAGCAUAAGCGGCUGGCAGAGGCAAGGAAAGACCAGCAGAGAGAGAGAGGAAGAGACAGACAAAGAGGGAGUCAAGAAGAGAGAGAGAGAGAGACAGAAAGUGAAAGAGAGAAAGAAAGAGGGAAAUAUACAAGUAGUUAAGAAAAAAAAAGUGUACCCUAUUCUUUUAAAAGCCAGCGUAAAUUUAAAACCUGUAAUUGAUAAUUGGAGGUCUUUUCCGUGACCCUACAACACUCCAAUACAACCUUGUUGUAAGUGUAAGCAAGGGUGAAGCCCAAAAGCACUGAGGCCACUGACAACCUGUAGCCUUCGUAUCAAAAAUUCUUAACUGAGUAAUCUGUGGAUGGCCCAAAUGCAUUCAAUCUGUAGCAGCAACUGCUUUGUUAACAGAAGAAAGUAGAAAAAUAACUUUUAGAGGAAACCUCAUUGUGAGCACACCUCACCAGUUCAGAAAUAUCCUAAGGGAAAAAAAAAAAAAGAUGAUUUAACAUUAGCCACUGAAAAUUCCCUUAACCUAGCAGGUUUCCUAACAGGGGGUCUAAAUCUUAAUUACCAUACAAAGGUCUGACCAGACCUAGGAGGAACUCCCUUUAGGAUGGGAUGAUAGAAGGAAAAAAAAGAAGCCAUCUAUACCAAUUCUAAGUUAAUUUGGACUAAACAAGGUCUUAUUAAUAGCAAAGGAUAAUUGAAAUCCAAAACUUACAAGGUUUUCAACAAAAGUAAAGUUUGCUAAAAGUUAACAGUGUAACAUGUAUUAUAGUAACUUCUAAUCUUGUGGCCUUAGACAGUCUAGUCCACAGACAUAAAGGAAGUUCACUUUGGAAAAGAAUGGUUAUCAUCUUUGGGAAAAAAAGGGGAAAGAAGGUGAGGGAGCAGAAUUUAUGUAAAAAGAAUGUUAUAUGGUAAAUUCUUGUCCUGAAAUAAAUUAACUGGUUGUUUAAAGAAAGAAAUGUUUGUAAUAAGUCAGAAAGUUGAGGCCUGUAGAAGAAUUGUCUGUGAAAGUCGUGAAAGAAAAAAAGUUAUAAAAAAAAAUUUAUGCAAGAAAUGUUGUAUAAUUUAAAAGUAACUAGGCCUCCUGAAUGUAAAACUAUUGAAAAAAACAGUUUAUAUGCAAGGUGUAUAAACAAAGUAAAAUAUAACUUUGGUAAAAGGAUUAUAAGGAGGCAUAAGAAUGUAAAUUUUUACCUACAUUAAAAGGUUAAAAAAAAUUGUUUUGAAGGUUUAAGCAAGUUUUAAAACAUUAAUUUUAAAGAAAAUUCUGUGUGUAAACAUAUUAGCUAAAGUUAAAGGGGUAUCAUCCAGUUGUUCUGUGAACUGGACGUUAAAGUAAAAACACAAUGAGUUUUUCUUAAAGCGCUAACAUGCUCUUUUACAAAGAUUAUAAAAGGUUAAAAACAGUCUAUAAAAAUCUUACCUUGGCCGGGCGCGGUGGCUCACGCCUGUAAUCCCAGCACUUUGGGAGGCCGAGGCGGGC
rnacentral:lncRNA from 1 species